rnacentral:lncRNA from 1 species
UCCCACAGAGGCUGGGGCCAUGGCUGCCACAUUCACUCUUUCAUCCCCAGAGUCCACAGCAGAUGAGACAAUCAACUUUCAUUGAAUGGACUACUGAGGGGCUUGGUAAUGGAACUGAAGAAAUCUGAAUGAAUUGUCUGAUGCAUCGUGACUAAGCUUGGAAUGUGCCAACUGUCCCCCAGGAGUGGCCCUUGGACAGCAGAGCUGGAGCGCCGGGACUCUGAGUGCAGG